rnacentral:rRNA from 1 species
GAUUAACGCUAGCGGCAGGCAUAAUACAUGCAAGUUGAACGGGAUAAGUUGUAGCAAUACGACUUUGAGAGUAGCGCACGGGUGCGUAACACGUAUGCAAUCUGCCCUUGUCUGUGGAAUAGCUCCUCGAAAGAGGAAUUAAUACCACAUAAAAUAGUGAGUAGGCAUCUACUUACUAUCAAAGCUCCGGCGGACAAGGAUGAGCAUGCGGCUGAUUAGGUAGUUGGUGAGGUAAUGGCUCACCAAGCCAACGAUCAGUAGGGGGUCUGAGAGGAUGUCCCCCCACACUGGUACUGAGACACGGACCAGACUCCUACGGGAGGGAGCAGUAGGGAAUAUUGGUCAAUGGGGGCAACCCUGAACCAGCCAUGCCGCGUGCAGGAUUAAGGCCCUAUGGGUCGUAAACUGCUUUUGUACGGGAAGAAAUCACAUUACGUGUAAUGUGUUGACGGUACCUGGUGAAUAAGCCACGGCUAACUACGUGCCAGCCGCCGCAGUAAUAC